GCUGUUCGUUGUCUGCGUUCUACUUUCCGCUUUGUACUGUCGCCGUAAAAGGGUUCGGACGGUAUUUCGAACGGUGCUCCCACAAAUUUGUUACGGGAACGAGGUUAGAAUGCUAAAAAAUAGCUCCAACAGUCUUGCGAGGACAAGUUUCCGGGCCUUGGAAAUGCGAGACGAUUGUUCCGUCAAAGGACGACGGAUAUUCACUGGCGAUCGUGCGGACGUUCGAAUCGAUUUCGAUUCGGUCACCGUUGCUUCUCGAUAUUUCUCGACAAAGCACGAGCAACCGUUACACCUACGUUAAAUGUAUCGACUCUCGAGAUCGACCACUGCGAACACAAAUAUGCGAUCCGCGGGUAUUUCUUCCCACCGAGCAAAGAUUUUUCUACGUGCGAGUAGAGCGCAAGUAAGUUUUUUUUCGUAAUUCGAGAUUCGAGAUACGGAUUCGUUGAAGCACAACUACAGAAAGAGAAUACCGUCCGCGUAUGCGUACACGACGUCCGUGUUCGUGCACAGGUCAACACGAAUAUGCGCUAUCGAAAGAGAGAUCGAGACGGGACACGCAAUUCCACCACACAAUUACAAGCGGCAGCCAAUCAUCGUUCAAUCUCGUUCCCACUUCUCGGUGGUGUCUCGGCGACGGCAACGCCACCGUCGUUGCGCGUCCUAUGUGUGCUUCUUCGUACGUGCACGAGCAAUGUCGAGCUUACGUAUGCAUCGAGGAAUGUAUUUGCUACGAGCUCAAUGUUUCUACCUUACACGUAGACGCGUAGUCACCCGCUGGUACGCUUGCGCGUCCACAUUUCACCUAUCGGAAUACAAUAAAGCACGGUCAAAUUUCGAGAAGGAACAUCGCGCGAACGUGCGAGAUUAAUGCGCGAGCCACGGGAGCCGUAGGAGUGGGAAAGAGCCAGAUUUGGCACACGGGCUACGCUCGCCCUUGCCCGAUUUACAUUGUCCGAUCUUGUAUUCGAAAUCAAGGUUUCCCGUGCACGAGUAAACAACAACCAAUAUUCUACACAUGUAUCUACAGAUUUUGAAAUAUUUGCAUCGCGUUCUCAUAUACAAAUA